GAAACUCCCUGGUACCAAUAAUGUUCUUCACCACAUGUACCAUCGUGUAUGUGCUCAUCAGUGAUAUCUCAUCUGUUUCAGCUGUGUGCUCCAACGGUACAUACGGACCAGACUGUAAAUACGACUGUCAAUGUAAUACUAGUGUGACCUGUGACCCUCAGAAUGGUUGUGGAGGGAACUGCGCUGCAGGUUGGGACGGACCCACGUGUCAAAGGCGAAAUGUCGCUCUGGGGAAAAAAACAUUUCAAUCGUCAAACUUCAACGGACAUAAAUCUGAGCUGGCUGUUGACGGUAUACUGGGACAUUCAAACGUGGGUACACCUUGUACGCACACAAGGAGGACACCAAGUCCAGCUUCCUGGAGAGUAACACUUGACGCCGUGUACUGGAUUAACAACUUCACCAUAUA